GGCCUCCCAAUUCUCACCACCGGCUGCGUUCUUUACUCUGACUGUAUAGAAAGAGGAGGGACAGUGAACGCGCCCCAUAUAGAGCUCAACACAGGCCUGGUCUGUAGUGUGAACUGGGGACCAAAA